rnacentral:rRNA from 1 species
GAUAAACGCUGGCGGCGUGCCUAAUACACGCAAGUCGAGCGAACAGACGAGGAGCUUGCUCCUCUGACGUUAGCGGCGGACGGGUGAGUAACACGUGGAUAACCUACCUAUAAGACUGGGAUAACUUCGGGAAACCGGAGCUAAUACCGGAUAAUAUAUUGAACCGCAUGGUUCAAUAGUGAAAGACGGUUUUGCUGUCACUUAUAGAUGGAUCCGCGCCGCAUUAGCUAGUUGGUAAGGUAACGGCUUACCAAGGCAACGAUGCGUAGCCGACCUGAGAGGGUGAUCGGCCACACUGGAACUGAGACACGGUCCAGACUCCUACGGGAGGCAGCAGUAGGGAAUCUUCCGCAAUGGGCGAAAGCCUGACGGAGCAACGCCGCGUGAGUGAUGAAGGUCUUCGGAUCGUAAAACUCUGUUAUUAGGGAAGAACAAAUGUGUAAGUAACUAUGCACGUCUUGACGGUACCUAAUCAGAAAGCCACGGCUAACUACGUG